rnacentral:rRNA from 1 species
UGGGGAAUUUUGGACAAUGGGCGCAAGCCUGAUCCAGCCAUGCCGCGUGCGGGAAGACGGCCUUCGGGUUGUAAACCGCUUUUGUCAGGGAAGAAAUCCUUUGAGCUAAUACCUCGGGGGGAUGACGGUACCUGAAGAAUAAGCACCGGUUAACUACGUGCCAGCAGCCGCGGUAAUACGUAGGGUGCAAGCGUUAAUUGGAAUUACUGGGCGUAAUGCGUGCGCAGGCGGUUAUGCAAGACAGAGGUGAAAUCCCCGGGCUCAACCUGGGAACUGCAUUUGUUACUGCGAGGCUGGAGUGCGGCUGAGGGGGAUGGAAUGCCGGGUGUAGCGGUGAAAUGCAUAGAUAUGCAGAGGAACACCGAUGGCGAAGGCAAUCCCCUGAGCCUGAACUGACGCUCAUGCACGAAAGCGUGGGGAGCAAACA